GUGAUAAAAGGCACAGAGAGAGAGCAACUCCCAAAACUACGUGGCGAGCAACUCCCAAAACUACGUGGCUCUUCUCCUGCCUAAUGAAAGGCUAGCUUCAGCCUGCAGCUUACUGGCAAGUCUGGCACUCUUGCACUCCACAGCAACCAAUUAUUAUUACCUCAGCUCCCCUGGUUCAGCACAAUACACCUGCACAGUAUUUUUACAGUUAUUUGUUCCUGUGAGGUGUACACAGCUUCCUACAGCAGAAACACUGAGCUGAUCAACCUGAAAGUGAGCGUUCGGUGGUUAUUUGGAAAGCAAACUCUUGCUAUUUGUUCCCAUGUGGUGGUGUGCAGCUUCGAAGUGCAGAAAAAUAGCAGUCAUCAACCUCCUACUACAGUCCUGUUAUUAGGAAAGGCAGCAUGGCUUUCAGAAUCUCUGAAUCGAAAAAAGAACACAGAAAAAGAAAAGUUACAGAGGAAGGAAGAGUGUUUAAAGAAAAUUGGACAGAAGAGUACUUUUUUGUUGAGGCAAACAGUAAAGCACUC